GGCAUGAACCGCCGCGCUGGUGCCCGUCAGUUGACGGGUGAAAAGGGAAUGCGCCAGAGGCAUCCGGCCUUCAAGCGCAGCCGCCCCCGCGACCGUGACCGGAGAGGCCGCCCGCUGCCACUGCCCAUUCGGGCCGGGAAGGCAGGGCCGCCGCCGAAGGCCCCCCGCCUUCGAGAUCCGCAAGCCGGGAGACCUGCCAGCCCGAACGACGUGAA
rnacentral:ncRNA from 1 species